GACGAACGCUGGCGGCGUGCUUAACACAUGCAAGUCGAACGGAAAGGCCCUGCUUUUGUGGGGUGCUCGAGUGGCGAACGGGUGAGUAACACGUGAGUAACCUGCCCUUGACUUUGGGAUAACUUCAGGAAACUGGGGCUAAUACCGGAUAGGAGCUCCUGCUGCAUGGUGGGGGUUGGAAAGUUUCGGCGGUUGGGGGUGGACUCGCGGCUUAUCAGCUUGUUGGUGGGGUAGUGGCUUACCAAGGCUUUGACGGGUAGCCGGCAUGAGAGGGUGACCGGCCACAGUGGGACUGAGAUACGGCGCAGACUCCUACGGGAGGCAGCAGUGGGGAAUAUUGCACAAUGGACGGAAGCCUGAUGCAGCAACGCCGCGUGCGGGAUGACGGCCUUCGGGUUGUAAACCGCUUUCGCCUGUGACGAAGCGUGAGUGACGGUAAUGGGUAAAGAAGCACCGGCUAACUACGUG
rnacentral:rRNA from 1 species